AGAGCGAACGCUGGCGGCAGGCUUAACACAUGCAAGUCGAGCGCCCCGCAAGGGGAGCGGCAGACGGGUGAGUAACGCGUGGGAACGUACCUUUUGGUUCGGAACAACACAGGGAAACUUGUGCUAAUACCGGAUAAGCCCUUACGGGGAAAGAUUUAUCGCCGAAAGAUUGGCCCGCGUCUGAUUAGCUAGUUGGUGAGGUAACGGCUCACCAAGGCGACGAUCAGUAGCUGGUCUGAGAGGAUGAUCAGCCACAUUGGGACUGAGACACGGCCCAAACUCCUACGGGAGGCAGCAGUGGGGAAUAUUGGACAAUGGGCGCAAGCCUGAUCCAGCCAUGCCGCGUGAGUGAUGAAGGCCCUAGGGUUGUAAAGCUCUUUUGUGCGGGAAGAUAAUGACGGUACCGCAAGAAUAAGCCCCGGCUAACUUCGUGCCAGCAGCCGC
rnacentral:rRNA from 1 species